GGACUCGCCGCUGUCACACCGGGAGCUCCAGGAGAGGUACUUUUUAAAAGUAUUCCAGUCAUCUGACCCAUCGCCAGAUGGUUAUUUGCAUAAUUUAUUCCCGUCUCGGAACGCUGAUUGGUCAUACCUCUGACGCCAAACCGAGAACUCCCCAAAGUUUGAAUGAAAGUGCCACACACCCACCACGUGGACGCCCGCAGAGACGAACUAGUUACUUCUCUGGCCCUCUCCAUGGGGUGCCAUGACUAUAGCCGCCCCUGCCUCCCCUCUUAUUCCUGGACUCCCAGAUUCUCCACUUGCCUGCUGGAUCCCACAAAGAACAGUCCCCCGAAACGAUGCUCCCACUGGAGAAGAGAUCCCUGGAGUCCGGAGAUCAUCCUCCUCAAGCUUUGACCCAGGUGCAACCCCGUGAUGGGCAAACGCUAGGCAGAUCCAGGAGCUGUGCGCCGGGGCCUGCUUUUUAGAGUUACACAACACCCCCCCACACUUCAUUUCUAGCUGCGACACUCCGGACAAGUCACCCAACUUCUCCAAGGCCAUUUUUUUCAUCCGAAACUGUGAGCUGCCAGCGGAGAAACUGUGACCCGCUGUCCGCAGUUCCAGAGAACCCAAGUUACUGAGUCCGGGGCGGCGGCAGUGGAGACCCUGAACGCAAGGCCAACUGGAAACCGCCGACUCAAGGCUGAGUGUCCCCAUCGAGCCUCCUUCAGCUAGGGAAAACUGCUCUGCUGGCCGCACCCUGGACGACUGCGAGAAAGGAGAAGCCCCGCGUCCCUUCUCCGCUAGAUAAGCACUCCAGCUGCAGGGGCUGGUGUGAGGAAACUGGGUCCUAGCGAGUAGGUCCUGUUCUGUGACUCUGGCUGCCAGACAGCACACUUCGUCACCAGUCAACUCACGUGUGCUGUCACCAAUUAACAAGAGUAUUUCUCAGGAGCGUUCAUAUACUUGCAACCAUCCUAUGAUUUUGGCUUCGAGAUCCAGGCCCUCAAUGCACCCCACAAUCCAGUGGCCCACAACCACUGUAUGGAAGACCUCGGGUAGCAUCAUAUCAUCUCGAGUCACACCCUCUUUUCUCUGCCUCUUGCCACGUGGUCUUUCCAGCUCCUCUGGUUCUAUCCAGGCCAGUGCUGCACUUUGGUCCUUGGAACUCACUUCAGUUUAUGAGCCUUGAUGAGAUCAUCAGAGACCUUCAGGAUCCCGAAGAGGUUGGCAUCUCCAAGGCAAAGACUGUUGCCAGAGCUGUUCCUCUUGGAGAAAGCCAAGCUGAGGCAGGAUACCAUUGAAGACAGCCUGCCCAGACCCUACCUCCACACUCUGCUUCCGAGGGAGUGGAGAUGGACAGAACAUGGAGAUGGAGUCAGAGGACAAAUGGGAGGACCACGCAAGCCAGCUAAGUUCAUCGUUAAGGGGCGUGCAUACUUCUGAAACCAUAAGGGAAAAAUAAUUAAGCUUGAACUGAAAUGCUCCAUUUUCCCAUAACUGGCUCAGCAAGUUCAGAAGAGCUGAAUGAAUAGACCCUGUCCCAGUUAGGGUUACUAUUGUGUGUAAUGAAACAUCAUGACCACAAGCAAGUUGGAGAGGAAAGGAUUUAUUUGGCUUACACUUCUAUAUCACUGUUCAUCAUCAACGGAAGUCAGGA